UACGGAGGGGACUAGCGUUGCUCGGAAUUACUGGGCGUAAAGGGUGUGUAGGCGGUCUUUUAAGUUAGGUGUGAAAGCCCGGGGCUCAACCUCGGAAUUGCACUUAAUACUGGAAGACUUGAGUCUGGGAGAGGACAGUGGAAUUUCUAGUGUAGGAGUGAAAUCCGUAGAUAUUAGAAGGAACACCAAUGGCGAAAGCAUCUGUCUGGAACAGCACUGACGCUGAGGCACGAAAGCGUGGGGAGCAAACAGG
rnacentral:rRNA from 1 species